rnacentral:rRNA from 1 species
CCUACGGGGGGCAGCAGUGAGGAAUAUUGGUCAAUGGACGGGAGUCUGAACCAGCCAAGCCGCGUGCAGGAUGACGGCUCUAUGAGUUGUAAACUUCUUUUGUAAAGGAAUAAACCUGGACACGUGUACCCUGUUGAAUGUACUGUAUGAAUAAGGAUCGGCUAACUCCGUGCCAGCAGCCGCGGUAAUACGGAGGAUCCGAGCGUUAUCCGGAUUUAUUGGGUUUAAAGGGUGCGUAGGCGGAUUGAUAAGUUAGUGGUGAAAUGUUGGGGCUUAACCCGGAAACUGCCUCUAAUACUGGCAGUCUCGAGAGUAGGUGCGGUAGGCGGAAUGCGUGGUGUAGCGGUGAAAUGCUUAGAUAUCACGCAGAACUCCGAUUGCGAAGGCAGCUUACCAAUCU